rnacentral:sRNA from 1 species
GGACCGAGAAGUUACCCAAAACCUCAAUUAGUCACUUAGUGGAGCUGAGGUGAAUUGGGAGCUCGCGGGAGCAAACUAUCUCGGUCCUGAAUUCCUUAGGAAUUCUGCCUAUUUAAACACUAAAUCGGACGUAAUAGUAACGCGGUGGCUAGGUUGCGCGUUACUACAAAAUUGGCACCUGAUAUCCAGUUGAGUAAUCGGGGAGUACUGGGCGCCAAAGUAAAGACAAUAGGCCUCUAUCGGCUAUGUGAUGUAACGCACAUCGCAGCAAC